rnacentral:rRNA from 1 species
UACAGAGGAGCCAAGCGUUGUCCGGAUUGACUGGGCGUAAAGCGCACGCAGGCGGGUGCGCGCGUGGGGUGUGAAAUCUGGCCGCUUAACGGCCAGCGGCCAUCCCAUACGGCGCGCCUGGAGCCUUGCAGAGGUCGGUGGAAUUGCCGGUGUAGUGGUGAAAUGCGUAGAGAUCGGCAGGAACACCCAGGGGGAAACCAGUGGACUGGGCAUGAGCUGACGCUCAGGUGCGAAAGCGUGGGGAGCGAACCGG